GACGAACGCUGGCGGCGUGCUUAACACAUGCAAGUCGAACGGAAAGGCCCUGCUUGCAGGGUACUCGAGUGGCGAACGGGUGAGUAACACGUGGGUGAUCUGCCCUGCACUUCGGGAUAAGCCUGGGAAACUGGGUCUAAUACCGGAUAGGAGCCACUUUUAGUGUGAUGGUUGGAAAGUUUUUUCGGUGUAGGAUGAGCUCGCGGCCUAUCAGCUUGUUGGUGGGGUAAUGGCCUACCAAGGCGGCGACGGGUAGCCGGCCUGAGAGGGUGGACGGCCACAUUGGGACUGAGAUACGGCCCAGACUCCUACGGGAGGCAGCAGUGGGGAAGAUUGCACAAUGGGCGCAAGCCUGAUGCAGCGACGCCGCGUGGGGGAUGACGGCCUUCGGGUUGUAAACUCCUUUCGCUAGGGACGAAGCUUUUUGUGACGGUACCUAGAUAAGAAGCACCGGCUAACUACGUG
rnacentral:rRNA from 1 species